rnacentral:pre_miRNA from 8 species
GCCAACGUCAGGGAAAGGAUUCUGCUGUCGGUCCCACUCCAAAGUUCAAAAAAUGGGUGGUGGGCACAGAAUCCGGCCUCUGCUUGUGGC